rnacentral:tRNA from 1 species
GCGGUGGUGGUUCAGUGGUAGAAUUCUCACAUUCUAUGUGGGAAACCUGGGUUCAACUCAUGGCCAGUGCA